rnacentral:rRNA from 1 species
GUUGGGUAUAGCCGCGGGAAACCGCGGGUAAUCCCCAGCGACGCACGAGGCCGGCAUCGGUCUCCUGCCAAAGCUCAGGCGCCGUGGGACGGGCCGUCGUGGUAUUAGGUAGUUGGCGGGGUAACGGCCCACCAAGCCGACGAUGCCUACCGGGCGUGCGAGCGUGGCCCGGCACACUGGGACUGAGACACUGCCCAGACUCCUACGGGAGGCUGCAGUCGAGAAUCUUCGGCAAUGGGCGCAAGCCUGACCGAGCGACGCCGCGUGGAGGAUGAAGGCCUUCGGGUUGUAAACUCCUGUCGAGGGGGAAGAAGGCCCCGCAAGGGGCUUGACUGAUCCCUGGAGGAAGCACGGGCUAAGUUCGUGCCAGCAGCCGCGGUAAGACGAACCGUGCGAACGUUAUUCGGAAUCACUGGGCUUAAAGCGCGUGUAGGCGGGACGGCACGUCUGUCGCUGAAAUCCCCCGGCUUAACCGGGGAACUGGCGUAGAUACGACCGUCCUUGAGGGGCGUAGGGGGACCUGGAACUUCCGGUGGAGCGGUGAAAUGCGUUGAGAUCGGAAAGAACGCCCGUGGCGAAAGCGAGGUCCUGGACGCCUACUGACGCUGAGACGCGAAAGCCAGGGGAGCGAACGGGAUAGAUAC